rnacentral:tRNA from 1 species
AAUCAUUUAGCUUAUAUAAGCAUAUGUUUUGAAAGCAUAAGAAAGAAGUUUACCCUUCUAAUGGUUU